AGCGAACGCUGGCGGCAGGCCUAACACAUGCAAGUCGAACGAAGUCUUCGGACUUAGUGGCGGACGGGUGAGUGACACGUGGGAACGUGCCUUUAGGUUCGGAAUAACUCAGGGAAACUUGUGCUAAUACCGAAUGUGCCCUUCGGGGGAAAGAUUUAUCCCCUUUAGGGCGGCACCCGGCUGAUUGGCUAGUUGGUGAGUUAAGGGCUCACCAAGGCUACGAUCAGUCGCUGGUCUGAGAGGAUGACCAGCACCAUUGGCACUGAGACACGGCCCAAACUCCGACGGGAGGCAGCAGUGGGGAAUCUUGCGGAAUGGGCGAAAGCCUGACGCAGCCAUGCCGCGUGGAUGAUGAAGGUCUUAGGAUUGUAAAAUCCUUUCACCGGUGAAGAUAAUGACUGUAGCCGGAGAAGAAGCCCCGGCUAACUUCGUGCCAGCCGCCGCCGUAAAAC
rnacentral:rRNA from 1 species